rnacentral:rRNA from 1 species
CCUUGUACACACCGCCCGUCACGUCAUGAAAGUCGGGGACGCCUGAAGCCGGUGGGCCAACCGUGAGGAGGCAGCCGUCGAGGGCGGGAUCGGCGAUUGGGACG